AACAUUGUGCAGUGGCAAUAUCGUAGCCAAUGAGGUUUAUCUGAGGCGUGAUUAUUGCUAAUUGG
rnacentral:snRNA from 1 species